rnacentral:rRNA from 1 species
CGUAGGGUGCAAGCGUUGUCCGGAAUUAUUGGGCGUAAAGAGCUCGUAGGCGGUCUGUCGCGUCUGCUGUGAAAACUCGGGGCUUAACCCCGGGCCUGCAGUGGGUACGGGCAGACUAGAGUGCGGUAGGGGAGACUGGAAUUCCUGGUGUAGCGGUGAAAUGCGCAGAUAUCAGGAGGAACACCGGUGGCGAAGGCGGGUCUCUGGGCCGUAACUGACGCUGAGGAGCGAAAGCAUGGGGAGCGAACAGGAUUAGAUACCCUGGUAGUCCAUGCCGUAAACGUUGGGCGCUAGGUGUGGGGCUCUUUCCACGAGUUCCGUGCCGCAGCAAACGCAUUAAGCGCCCCGCCUGGGGAGUACGGCCGCAAGGCUA